GGUAUAUCAAUCUUGUUUCCCAAAAUGAGAAAUGGGACAUUUGUUAACGACUCAUCUGACAGAAGCCCAUCCAAUUCCUUCUUUGCCUCUGGAAACCUCUCUCUGUCAUUUGCGUCCACAAGAUAAACAACAGCGUCCACCUUGGCAUAAUAGUCUCUCCAGACUCUUCUAGCAAUCUGGUGUCCCCCUAAAUCAAAAGCCUUGAACUUGAUAUUCCCAAUACUCAACUCCUCUGAUGUGGGGUACUGUGUAGGUUGAUGCUGCACCAAUCUCUCAUCUUUCAACAUA
rnacentral:misc_RNA from 1 species